CCUAAAACUCAUGGUUGGAGCACACAUGUAGUGGAAUACAAAUGUGCCGAGAUAAGGUAUUUCCCCGUGACUGCUACCAGACCAUAACAAUUUAGAUUUUCUUAUAACAUAGGUAUCCUUGCCCGUGAACCAUAGGAUCUUUUCUGAAUCUCGCAGUUUUGGUGGUGUACCCUGCAACAGCAUCUUUGUGGUUAUGGAUGUGUUUACUCUGUUCAGAAGGCAACCCAGCUAAGAGAUAGUUUCAGAGACAUGAAGUGUGUGAAGUGAAUAACCUGUCAUGUGCAGGCACAUGUACCAGAUCUGUUUGAUGAAAGUCAAAGGCCUUACUAAAUUCAUCACCCAAAUGAUAAAGCAUUAGGAAAUUUAUCUCAACAUGUGGA